GGAUCCAGACUUUGAUCAUGGCUCAGGACGAACGCUGGCGGCGCGCCUAACACAUGCAAGUCGAACGGAGCUGAGAGGAGCUUGCUUUUCUUAGCUUAGUGGCGAACGGGUGAGUAACGCGUGAGUAACCUGCCCUGGAGUGGGGGACAACAGUUGGAAACGACUGCUAAUACCGCAUAAGCCCACGGCCCGGCAUCGGGCUGAGGGAAAAGGAUUUAUUCGCUUCAGGAUGGACUCGCGUCCAAUUAGCUAGUUGGUGAGGUAACAGCCCACCAAGGCGACGAUUGGUAGCCGGACUGAGAGGUUGAACGGCCACAUUGGGACUGAGACACGGCCCAGACUCCUACGGGAGGCAGCAGUGGGGGAUAUUGCACAAUGGGGGAAACCCUGAUGCAGCGACGCCGCGUGGAGGAAGAAGGUUUUCGGAUUGUAAACUCCUGUCGUUAGGGACGAUAAUGACGGUACCUAACAAGAAAGCACCGGCUAACUACGUGCCAGCAGCCGCGGUAAAACGUAGGGUGCAAGCGUUGUCCGGAAUUACUGGGUGUAAAGGGAGCGCAGGCGGACCGGCAAGUUGGAAGUGAAAACUAUGGGCUCAACCCAUAAAUUGCUUUCAAAACUGCUGGCCUUGAGUAGUGCAGAGGUAGGUGGAAUUCCCGGUGUAGCGGUGGAAUGCGUAGAUAUCGGGAGGAACACCAGUGGCGAAGGCGACCUACUGGGCACCAACUGACGCUGAGGCUCGAAAGCAUGGGUAGCAAACAGGAUUAGAUACCCUGGUAGUCCAUGCCGUAAACGAUGAUUACUAGGUGUUGGAGGAUUGACCCCUUCAGUGCCGCAGUUAACACAAUAAGUAAUCCACCUGGGGAGUACGACC
rnacentral:rRNA from 1 species